AUGGCAGGAUGUGAUUUUUCUUUAUUACCAAGCCUUCACUCUCAUUCCUUUGUCUUUUCUCCCCCCUCUCCUCCCCCCUCUCUGUCUCCUCCAGUGGGUGUGGUGCGGCCCACCCUGAGCGUCCUCCCCCCCUCCAGAGAGGAGCUGCAGCAGGACAGUGCCACACUGGUGUGUGUGGCCAGCGGGGGCUUCCCCUCAGCCUGGAGGCUGGGCUGGAAGGUGGGGGGCAGCAGCAGCAGCAGCUCCUCAGGGGUGUCACACAGCCUGAAGGUCCUGGGAGGGACGGCCACUACAGCUGGAGCAGCACCUCAGCCUCUCUGCAGACCAGUGGAGGAAGGCGGGCUCAGUGAGCUGUGAGGCCAGUCUGAAUGGACAGAGCCCUGUCACUCAAAGCCUGGACCCUGACCGCUGCUCAGAGUAGAGCUUCAGCAACACUUCCUGUCUGGAAAUGAUGCUGCUUCUUUCAUACACAUCUUCAUGAAGCUACACAUCUCCUCUCUUCACAUCUUUCUGCACUUUCACAGCUCUCUGCUCAGUGUUUUAGUCUGCAUGUUGCUUUCUAAUACUCAUCUUCUGCAUAUUCUUCUUUAUCUUCAUUACUUUUCAGCUUCAACUGAAUGUUAUUAGUUUCACUCCAACACAAACUAUUCAUUCAUCACAAAUGUGGCAUGAACAUUAAAUCGUCAUUAAAUA